rnacentral:rRNA from 1 species
AUACGUAGGGGGCGAGCGUUGUCCGGAUUUACUGGGCGUAAAGGGUGAGUAGGCGGUUAUAUGUGUCAGAUGUGAAAGGCCAUGGCUUAAACAUAGUUAGCAUUUGAAACUGGAUGACUUGAGGGCAGGAGAGGUAAGUUGGAUUUCUAGUGGAGCGGGGAAAUGCGUAGAUAUUAGGAGGAACAACAGUGGCGAAGGCGACUUACUGGACUGUAACUGACGCUGAGUCACGAAAGCGUGGGUAGCAAACAGGAUUAGAUACCCUGGUAGUCCACGCUGUAAACGAUGAGUGCUAGGUGUUGGCCAGCGAUGGUCAGUGCCGCAGUAAACACAUUAAGCACUCCGCCUGGGGAGUACGGUCGCAAGACUGAAACUCAAAGGAAUUGACGGGG